rnacentral:rRNA from 1 species
GAUGAACGCUGGCGGCGUGCCUAAUACAUGCAAGUCGAACGCAGUGGGGACGGGUGAGUAACACGUGGGUAACCUCCCAUCAGAGGGGAUAACACUUGGAAACAGGUGCUAAACCGAUACUGAUGUAUGAAGUCGCGGUGCAUUAGCCUGUUGGUGAGGUAACGGCUCACCAAGGCCACGAUGCAUAGCAGACCUGGGAGGGUGAUCGGCCACACUGGGAAUGAGACACUGCCCAGACUCCUACGGGAGGCAGCAGUGGGGAAUCUUCGGCAAUGGGCGAAAGUCUGACCGAGCAACGCCGCGUGAAUGAAGAAGGUUUUCGGAUCGUAAAGCUCUGUUGUUGGAGAAGCGGUAUCUAACCAGGAAGCCACGGCUAACUACGUGCCAGCAGCCGCGGUAAUAC